UUAUUACUCUGAUUUUAGGCAGUGGUGGAGGGAGGGGGUGGCAUUCACCUAGUCCUUCCUUGAAGGACAGUCAUGCUACUUGCUUUGCAAAGGGCUAGAAGGUAGACUGUGUGGGGAAGCUGGCGAGAGCAGUUUUCUUUUCAGAGCCAGUUUCCAUGGUGCCUGACAACACUUGGCAAUCCACAGCUGGGGAGUCUUGGACACGCAGGGGGGCCCAGGGCCUUAUCUCACCCGGGCCACCCCCCAAGGCCUCUGGCCUCUCUGGGCCCCCAGAGUGAGAGGCCACAGCCUGGACUGCAAGGACCAGAUAACCACGUACGGUCCCCUUCGAUUCCCAGUGUGUUUACACCUGCUGUGGUCCCCACAUCCUAGAAAGGACCAACUGCACCCAGACAGGUUGGGACACUUCCAGGCGGGACGAAGAGAGGAGAGACAUGUGCCUUACCUGUUCCUGGGAGUUCAUCACUCGCAACUUCAUCUGCUUCAGACACUUCCUCUUGGUUCCGUGGCAGAGGGUUCUGACACCGCUGCACGUUGGCGCCUUCGCACAGACGACUGGCACGGCGAGGGGACCGAAGGCGCUUUCAGCGUCCGUUAGUCCUCUUCUUGCUGCCCCACCCUCAACCCAGACUUGACCUCUUUAAGCCCAGGAGCACAUUGGGACCUCCCUCCCCCACACAACCACGGGGUUGGAGGCCGUAUGUGAGGCGGACAUUUGAGCAACCACAUUGAGAGGGCGUCCCUCAAAAGAGCCAUGGUUCCUGUUUUCUGAUCCUGGGUCUCCAGACAGAGAACUCAGCCAUUUCCGUUUCAUUUCCUCAGAGACAUGGGUGUCUGGUGAGAAGCUGUCAGACAACAUGGUGCAUGAGCAGGGCCAUCCUUGUCCUGGAGAUCACUGGUCAGAGUCGCAAAGGAAGAAUUCAUGGAGUGUCAUGGCAGCUCUCCGUGUUUGGCCAUCCGGGGAGGCCAGGCACUGUGUUUUUUUCCCUGAUGGUCACCCAUGUCCUGCCUAAAAUACCAUGACUGCUUAUGAGAAGGCACCUCUAAUAAAGCCGGGUACAGCUUGGUUUAAGAAA